GAUGAACGCUGGCGGCGUGCCUAAUACAUGCAAGUCGAGCGAACAGAUGAGGAGCUUGCUCCUCUGACGUUAGCGGCGGACGGGUGAGUAACACGUGGAUAACCUACCUAUAAGACUGGGAUAACUUCGGGAAACCGGAGCUAAUACCGGAUAGUAUAUUGAACCGCAUGGUUCAAUAGUGAAAGACGGUUUUGCUGUCACUUAUAGAUGGAUCCGCGCCGCAUUAGCUAGUUGGUAAGGUAACGGCUUACCAAGGCAACGAUGCGUAGCCGACCUGAGAGGGUGAUCGGCCACACUGGAACUGAGACCCGGUCCAGACUCCUACGGGAGGCAGCAGUAGGGAAUCUUCCGCAAUGGGCGAAAGCCUGACGGAGCAACGCCGCGUGAGUGAUGAAGGUCUUCGGAUCGUAAAACUCUGUCAUUAGGGAAGAACAAAUGUGUAAGUAACUAUGCACGUCUUGACGGUACCUAAUCAGAAAGCCACGGCUAACUACGUG
rnacentral:rRNA from 1 species